CCUACGGGAGGCAGCAGUGGGGAAUAUUGCACAAUGGGGGAAACCCUGAUGCAGCGACGCCGCGUGAGUGAAGAAGUAUUUCGGUAUGUAAAGCUCUAUCAGCAGGGAAGAAAAUGACGGUACCUGAAUAAGAAGCCCCGGCUAACUACGUGCCAGCAGCCGCGGUAAUACGUAGGGUGCAAGCGUUAUCCGGAUUUACUGGGUGGAAAGGGAGCGUAGACGGCAGGACAAGUCUGGAGUGAAAUGCCGGGGCUUAACCCCGGAACUGCUUGGGAAACUGUGCAGCUAGAGUGCAGGAGAGGUAAGUGGAAUUCCUGGUGUAGCGGUGAAAUGCGUAGAGAUUAGGAGGAACACCAGUGGCGAAGGCGGCUUACUGGACUGUAACUGACGUUGAGGCUCGAAAGCGUGGGGAGCAAACAGGAUUAGAUACCCGAGUAGUC
rnacentral:rRNA from 1 species